rnacentral:antisense_RNA from 2 species
UUAUGGUGGGCUGGGCGGGGGCUUCUUCGGAAGCGCCGGUUUCCGAUAACGCCGGUUACGCCAACCCUGUCCAGUCCAUCACCA